rfam:Roseburia sp. CAG:182 genomic scaffold, scf365
GAUACUGUAGCCGCUGGAAGGGCAUAGGUUUGCAAAACUGAAGUUGAUGGUUCGAAUCCAUCCAGUAUCG